UCACCUACGGGACGCAGCAGUGGGGAAUAUUGCGCAAUGGGGAAAACCCUGAUGCAGCGACGCCGCGUGAAGGAUGAAGUAUUUCGGUAUGUAAACUUCUAUCAGCAGGGAAGAAAAUGACGGCACCUGACUAAGAAGCCCCGGCUAACUACGUGCCAGCAGCCGCGGUGAUACGUAGGGGGCAAGCGUUAUCCGGAUUUACUGGGUGUAAAGGGAGCGUAGACGGUAUGGCAAGUCCGAUGUGAAAACCCGGGGCUCAACCUCGGGACUGCAUUGGAAACUGUCGGACUAGAGUGUCGGAGAGG
rnacentral:rRNA from 1 species